UCCCACAUCACUGUCCUCAAAAUACACACCAUGUUGCCACCCCACCCCUGUCACAUUGGAAUUUUGUUAUUUUGGAAUAAUCCCCCUGAAAUUGGGAUCUCUUUAUAUAUUUAGAUUGUUAAAGAAUAUACAGUACGAUUUUUUUUUUUUUUUAGACAAAGACAAAAAGAAUGACUGUUAAGUUUAUUAAUAUGUUUUUCAAAAGUAAAAGCAAUUUCAUUCACCAGCGUAGAACUUAGUGGGAUCUGACACUACUUCUGGUGCAUUCCUGCAUUAACUUAUAAAUGUUGCUCAUGAAAGGUUCACCAUUGGAAAUAUACCGGUAUACAUUUUUCGUAUACUGAUCAAAUGUUUAAUUGACAACAUAUAUACUUCAAUCUUGGUUUUGUUCAGAAGUUUGAUCACUUUCUAGAUAAAUCAUGCCUUUUUAUGACUGUGAUUUGUUGAAUGGUUUUAAAUUACCAGGGUAUUUAAUUCUUGUCAUGGUGGGAAAACAUAAAGGAUUUUAACAUUUACGUCUUCAACAACCGUAAGUGUUUGAUCACGGAGAUGAGGCUUUCUAACAUGUGUUUGAUCACGGAGAUGAGGCUUUCUAACAUGUGUUUGAUCACGGAGAUGAGGCUUUCUAACAUGUGUUUGAUCACGGAGAUGAGGCUUUCUAACAUGUGCAAAUCGCAGCCUUUAAAUCACGGAGAUGAGGCUUUCUAACGUGCAAAUCGCAGCCUUUAAAUCACGGAGAUGAGGCUUUCUAACAUGUGCAAAUCGCAGCCUUUAAAUCUCAUUAUGGGUAAAAUCUUCCUUUAUAUACAUCAUAACUUGCCAGUUAUGGUAAAUCCAAUCAAAAAAAUGUGUUUCUGCUAUAACAGAGUGCAUAUCAUUUUUCACAGAUAUUCCAAGCAUGCACCAAUCUUACCAGUAACCUAGCAUAUGUGUGUGAAUCAUUUUUAAACAACUGAAUCACCUCAUGUAUAAAUAAACACCAUGAUCCAUGACAUGGCUUCAAAAAACUCAGAACCAGCUGAAAUCUGAGCUCUGAGCACAUACAAUCCACUUCUGCAUCACUGGCAGAAAAUUAUAAUCAAAUCAACACAUCUGAGCAGUUGACUAGAAGGGUAUAAGGGAAGUUCACCUUAUUUUAAUCUAAAUGUUUGUCUGACAUGAGGGCAUGUGGCCUGGAAUUUAUGUCAGUAGGUCAGACGUUGCACCCACUGUGUGCACUCAGUCAGUGCCUUCUCCAGUAAGGCAUUUUGAUAGAUGAUCAAAUCGAUUCACUUUCCUUCAUGCAUGUAAGUUAGGUUAUGCAGAUUGUGAUAAACUCUAAUGAUUGCUUUUUUCUUGCUGUUCUACAACAAAGGCUUAACUGGAGAUACAUUUCCCCAAGGCUUUCAUCAACUCAAAUGCAGCUGCUGUAAUUAACAUGAGAUCAAACUCAGUGUUUUAGAAUGAAAUUCCUUUGAUGAAAAUGAGAAAGUCUUGUUUGAGAUAAAAACAUCUGAAUCAUCCAAGAAAAAAGAUAGCAUGGGAAAGUUAAAAGAAAAGAAUGAUUAUACAGUCUGUUUACAUAAUGAUGCCUACAUUUGUUUGUCUUACACAAAAUUCAUAUUUUUGCAUUUGCAAGAGGCAUGAGAAACAGAACUCUUGUCACCCCAAAAUAGCAUGCAAAUUCUAUUUCCAGAGUUUAAAAAUGGCAUUUGAAGAGCUACAUUUGCAACAGUUGGAUCAUAAAUGUAGAAAAAAAAUACCUUCAUCAUAAUUUGACAAGUAUAAAGGAAAUAACUGUAAAGGCUGUCAGGUUUUUUUCCUGAAGUCAGCCAAGAUUUCCUGCAUUUAAUGUUGAAAAGGCCGAUCCCUUAAAAUAAUCAGUCAUGCAUUCAGAAAUAGCAACUAUUCAUGCCUAAAUAAGACACUGAAAGCGGGAAUGAUAUAGUCAGGAUCCAUCAAAUCAUUUUUUUCCCUUAUAGAUCUAAUUUUGUUAGUUAAACUAAAUGCAUUAAUUCCCAUUUGAUGUAUACUGCAUUUACACUUCACAUAUGAAAUUCAAUGCCACAAAGUUUUUGCAGUUUACUAUAUAAGGAACUGUCAGGUUACACAAUAUUAGUAAAACUGAAAUCACAAAUUUCAUGAGCAAAUAAGGCAUUCCCACAGUGGAGUAUCUAAUAUCAUUUCAGGAGAGGGCAGAUGGAAGCCGGAGUAAUGUCAGCAGAUCCACUCUUGCAAUGACACUUAUAACUAACUACUGCAUGGGCAAGUGCAACAGAUUAAAGGUCAAUAGGAGAAAAAGAGGUCCUUGGAUCAUCAUGUUCUCAACUACUAAGCAGAAAAUCCAAAUGACUCUAAUUGUAGUUUAAUUCAUUCAUAGAAACAAUUUCCCCAUAAAUGGCCAGAAUGUACACAUAAUUUGCCUACCAAAUCCAGAAGAUGUUGAAAGAUUUCAGCAGAGGUGAUUUUGACAAAGUAAUUUAUUAUUAGAGAGGUUUAUGCACUAUUACUAAUGGAAUUCUUUACCUAUCAUUUAGUCUAUGAUGAAUAAAAUACAUAACUGCUGUCAUAAGACUGUCUACACACUAUACACUUCGUGAUAACCCCAUGCUGACUACACAGUAAAAACUACAACCCAAACUAUAGUACAUGUAUACUAUAGGAAGGGAAUGUCAACCCAUCAUUCUUUUAUCUUAAGAGUACACCCCUGAGCUCAUCUCUGAUCAAAUUCACAUGUAUAUAUAUAUUGACUGUGAUUUAUAACUCUGCUUCAUGUUAUACUUGAAAAUCUCAGGUUGGUAAACAAUUAAUCUAAAGUAAAUGCAUGCCAAAAAUGUCCCCUGUAUAAAAGCUUGAUAAAAGCUAAUGGAAAUUCUUCAUUAAAGUUAACACCAAUCUGUCAAAUUGUCAAUGUUGCAUUAAGUAACAUUUAAUGCAUGUUCAUGCCUUUGCUAAUUAAACAUGAAAAAUGGAAUACAGGGAGUUGGAUUUAAUUGAGUAUCAGAUGUGCUUUUGUUAUACAAACAAAAACAAAUCAGUAUCAUUCCUAGAAUGGGAUAUUGAGGGAAGUGAACCUUUCCCUUUAUAAGCCUUCAUUCCAUCCUUAUUCAAAAAUAGAAUAAGAAAUCUAAAAAUGGAACGGAAAUAUUUUAAUGCAGAUUUGUUUUUGUUUUAACUGUGAUGAAAAUCAAAUGUCCAGCAGAUCUGAUAAAUGUAAACAUUGCAAUGUUUUUUAACGGGCAAUUGAGUAUAAACCAUCCCCACAACAUCAGGGGCCCUGAGUCAACUCGUUGUCACGGCCACGAGUGGACUCAGACCUCGAGUGGUCUCAGGACCUCUGACGUUGUGAUGAUUACCCGAUGAGAGCCAAUUAUAAUUAUCAUAUAUGAAUCAGCAAUGAGUUAUAUUUGGUAACAAUACUCAUCAAAGAUGCUGUUUAUAUUUGGUGCAUUAAUCACGCAUUAGUACUCCGGCAUUCUAAUAUGAUAAUAGAUGAAGAAAAUAAGUGUUCAUGACCAAAGAUUUGCCAUCAAGUGAUUACACGAUCAAUAUUUUCAAGUUUUCAUCUACUGACACCAAAACACAGAUUUUAGGGCCACAACAGCAAUCACACAGACGCUGAAGGACGUCUCGGUUUUACACCACUGUUUCUUCUUCAAUCUUUUUUUUUUUACGUGGGCAUUCCUUCAUUUGUCAGAAUGGCAAGAAAAUUUCCAACAGAGAUCUUCCACCUGUCUGUCAGAUGUGGUGUCAAUGAGCGAGCAGCUGGUCAACAACCGACCCUUCACUCAAGUCAAAAUUUUACACCAUCAAUAAACUGUCCCCUUUUUUUGGAUUCCAGCAAUCUUUUAAACCAUCUGUUAGUACUGGCUUAUUCAACAUCAUCUGUAUACUAGUUAACACUAAUGAUAAAUUUAUUAUCAGAUAUAUAAUAUUGUCGAUGUGUUGUAUUUGUUAUAAUUAAAAGAAAUGUUAUCUUCAAUGUUUUUCUCUAACAGAUUGUCACCAGCUAUUGACUGUUA